rnacentral:rRNA from 1 species
AUUGAACGCUGGCGGCAGGCCUAACACAUGCAAGUCGGACGGUAGCACAGAGGAGCUUGCUCCUUGGGUGACGAGUGGCGGACGGGUGAGUAAUGUCUGGGGAUCUGCCCGAUAGAGGGGGAUAACCACUGGAAACGGUGGCUAAUACCGCAUAACGUCGCAAGACCAAAGAGGGGGACCUUCGGGCCUCUCACUAUCGGAUGAACCCAGAUGGGAUUAGCUAGUAGGCGGGGUAAUGGCCCACCUAGGCGACGAUCCUUAGCUGGUCUGAGAGGAUGACCAGUCACACUGGAACUGAGACACGGUCCAGACUCCUACGGGAGGCAGCAGUGGGGAAUAUUGCACAAUGGGCGCAAGCCUGAUGCAGCCAUGCCGCGUGUAUGAAGUAGGCCUUCGGGUUGUAAAGUACUUUCAGCGGGGAGGAAGGCGAUGCGGUUAAUAACCGCGUCGAUUGACGUUACCCGCAGAAGAAGCACCGGCUAACUCCGUGCCAGCAGCCGCGGUAA